UGCAGUCGAACGAUGAAGCCCUUCGGGGUGGAUUAGUGGCGAACGGGUGAGUAACACGUGGGCAAUCUGCCCUUCACUCUGGGACAAGCCCUGGAAACGGGGUCUAAUACCGGAUACGAGUUCAGGAGGCAUCUUCUGGACUGGAAAGCUCCGGCGGUGAAGGAUGAGCCCGCGGCCUAUCAGCUUGUUGGUGGGGUAACGGCCCACCAAGGCGACGACGGGUAGCCGGCCUGAGAGGGCGACCGGCCACACUGGGACUGAGACACGGCCCAAACUCCUACGGGAGGCAGCAGUGGGGAAUAUUGCACAAUGGGCGAAAGCCUGAUGCAGCGACGCCGCGUGAGGGAUGACGGCCUUCGGGUUGUAAACCUCUUUCAGCAGGGAAGAAGCGAAAGUGACGGUACCUGCAGAAAAAGCGCCGGCUAACUACGUGCCAGCAGCCGCGGUAAUACGUAGGGCGCAAGCGUUGUCCGGAAUUAUUGGGCGUAAAGAGCUCGUAGGCGGCUUGUCACGUCGGGUGUGAAAGCCCGGGGCUUAACCCCGGGUCUGCAUCCGAUACGGGCAGGCUAGAGUGUGGUAGGGGAGAUCGGAAUUCCUGGUGUAGCGGUGAA
rnacentral:rRNA from 1 species